CAGCCGCCACGGUAAUACGGAGGGCGCGAGCGUUACCCGGAUUUACUGGGCGUAAAGGGCGUGUAGGCGGCCUGGGGCGUCCCAUGUGAAAGGCCACGGCUCAACCGUGGAGGAGCGUGGGAUACGCUCAGGCUAGAGGGUGGGAGAGGGUGGUGGAAUUCCCGGAGUAGCGGUGAAAUGCGCAGAUACCGGGAGGAACGCCGAUGGCGAAGGCAGCCACCUGGUCCACUUCUGACGCUGAGGCGCGAAAGCGUGGGGAGCAGACCGGAUUAGAUACCCCUGUAGUCCCUGUCUCUUAUAC
rnacentral:rRNA from 1 species